rnacentral:rRNA from 1 species
UACGAAGGGUGCAAGCGUUACUCGGAAUUACUGGGCGUAAAGCGUGCGUAGGUGGUUUGUUAAGUCUGUUGUGAAAGCCCCGGGCUCAACCUGGGAACUGCAUCUGUGACUGCAUCGCUGGAGUGCGGCAGAGGGGGAUGGAAUUCCGCGUGUAGCAGUGAAAUGCGUAGAUAUGCGGAGGAACACCGAUGGCGAAGGCGGCUCUCUGGACCGAUACUGACGCUGAGGCGCGAAAGCGUGGGGAGCAAACAGG